GACGAACGCUGGCGGCGUGCUUAACACAUGCAAGUCGAACGGAAAGGCCCUGCUUUUGUGGGGUGCUCGAGUGGCGAACGGGUGAGUAACACGUGAGUAACCUGCCCUUGACUUUGGGAUAACUUCGGGAAACUGGGGCUAAUACCGGAUAGGAGCUCCUGCUGCAUGGUGGGGGUUGGAAAGUUUCGGCGGUUGGGGAUGGACUCGCGGCUUAUCAGCUUGUUGGUGGGGUAGUGGCUUACCAAGGCUUUGACGGGUAGCCGGCCUGAGAGGGUGACCGGCCACAUUGGGACUGAGAUACGGCCCAGACUCCUACGGGAGGCAGCAGUGGGGAAUAUUGCACAAUGGGCGGAAGCCUGAUGCAGCAACGCCGCGUGCGGGAUGACGGCCUUCGGGUUGUAAACCGCUUUCGCCUGUGACGAAUCGUGAGUGACGGUAAUGGGUAAAGAAGCACCGGCUAACUACGUGCCAGCAGCCGCGGUGAUACGUAGGGUGCGAGCGUUGUCCGGAUUUAUUGGGCGUAAAGGGCUCGUAGGUGGUUGAUCGCGUCGGAAGUGUAAUCUUGGGGCUUAACCCUGAGCGUGCUUUCGAUACGGGUUGACUUGAGGAAGGUAGGGGAGAAUGGAAUUCCUGGUGGAGCGGUGGAAUGCGCAGAUAUCAGGAGGAACACCAGUGGCGAAGGCGGUUCUCUGGGCCUUUCCUGACGCUGAGGAGCGAAAGCGUGGGGAGCGAACAGGCUUAGAUACCCUGGUAGUCCACGCUGUAAACGGUGGGUACUAGGUGUGGGGUCCAUUCCACGGGUUCCGUGCCGUAGCUAACGCUUUAAGUACCCCGCCUGGGGAGUACGGCCGCAAGGCUAAAACUCAAAGGAAUUGACGGGGCCCCGCACAAGCGGCGGAGCAUGCGGAUUAAUUCGAUGCAACGCGUAGAACCUUACCUGGGUUUGACAUGGAUCGGGAGUGCUCAGAGAUGGGUGUGCCUCUUUUGGGGUCGGUUCACAGGUGGUGCAUGGCUGUCGUCAGCUCGUGUCGUGAGAUGUUGGGUUAAGUCCCGCAACGAGCGCAACCCUUGUUCACUGUUGCCAGCGCGUUAUGGUGGGGACUCAGUGGAGACCGCCGGGGUCAACUCGGAGGAAGGUGGGGAUGACGUCAAGUCAUCAUGCCCCUUAUGUCCAGGGCUUCACGCAUGCUACAAUGGCUGGUACAGAGAGUGGCGAGCCUGUGAGGGUGAGCGAAUCUCGGAAAGCCGGUCUCAGUUCGGAUUGGGGUCUGCAACUCGACCUCAUGAAGUCGGAGUCGCUAGUAAUCGCAGAUCAGCAACGCUGCGGUGAAUACGUUCCCGGG
rnacentral:rRNA from 1 species